AAGAACGACCCGCGAAUCGUCACAGCUAACUGGACUGAGCCCGUGAGCACCUAACGCUCAUGGGGCUCGCGUCGCGUCGACGCGGGUGUCCUCGAGACCCGCGUCGUACCGGCGGACAAACAACGUCAGCACGGAUCGUGCCAAGGAGCUGCAUGGAGAGAAUCGUCGUCCCACGCCCUUGAUAGUCCUCGACGCGGGACGGGGGAUGCACGCAAUCUCUACUCGAGUCUAAACGACUCUCGGCAACGGAUAUCUCGGCUCUUGCAUCGAUGAAGAACGUAGCGAAAUGCGAUACUUGGUGUGAAUUGCAGAAUCCCGUGAACCAUCAAUUCUUUGAACGCAAGUUGCGCCCGAAGCCAUUCGGCCGAGGGCACGCCUGCCUGGGUGUCGUGAAUCCCCUUGCCCCUAGGCACCCGCAUGAGCAUUGGCGGGGAUGUAUGCUCGGGCGCAGAACAUGGUCUCCCGUGGGAUCGGCAUGCACGGCAUGUCGAGGUGCGGUUGGCCGAAAAUCGAGCAUGACGGUGACGGGCACCACGGCGUUCGGUGGAUCGAAUGAGAUUGGCUGCGCCGUGGGCUCGGCAUGCGGCGGGCUCCGGACUUCGAGUAUAUACCCGAGCGCGAUCCCAGGUCAGGCGGGGCUACCCGCUGAGUUUAAG
rnacentral:rRNA from 1 species